GAAAACCCAAUCAGGGCAGGCGGGAAGCACUCUAGCCUUACUGCAGCUUGGGGUGCCUCACUCUCUCCCCUGCCCCUUCUCCCAGCUGGGAGAGAGCCCCUCUGCCCUCCAGGCUCUCCUGCUCCCCUGGGCUUCUCCAGGCCUCUCCAUCUCUCCCCAUGCCCCCCUCUCUCUCUCCCUCCAUGGCUCCUUGCUCUCCCUCAGCUUCCAGGUCUCUGCUGGUCCCCAGGGAGCACUUUGACCUCUGCUCCCCCCUCAGGUGCUGUGGAUGAAGCCUCACCCCCAACCCACCAUUCCACCAAAGGGGCUGAUGAUCCAGAGGCCCCACCCAGCCAGAACUGCCAUAAACCACAUCCUCCAAAGGAACGAAGCUCCCAACAUUAAAACUGAGAUCUUGAGCUAGCAGUUUCGCACGGUGUCCGGUAGGUGUCGCUGUGGACCGCUCAAAAAAUCCUCCGCAGCCCGAAUCCUCGCGCAAUGGGGACGGUAGAUAAUUCAGUACGUGGUGGCUGUGAGCUUUAUUGCUAUGCUUUCCUGGGCGAGCAGCGAUUUGCAAAGGCAGAGUUCAGAGAGAGCACAAGUGGAAGGAAUGGUGGAGGGAGAGGAAGAAGCAGGCUCCCCACUGAGCCGGGAGCCCAUGCGGAACUCGAACUCAUUCCCAGGACUCUGAUACUAGGACCUGGGCGGAAGAUAAAGGCAUAACGGACAGAGCCACCCAGGCACCCUGAGCCACCGGAGCCUUCACCUCUCUCCCUGGAGCAGGACCAGAAGCAGCAGGAAGCCCUAGACUACGGGUUAGAAACACAGGUAUGUCAGGAUAAACCACAGUGAGCCCGAUGGAAAGAUGGUCUCCAAAGAGAUAUCCGCAGUUACCUUGAAAUAGUGGGAUUUCAGGAACUCACAGCACUGAAAAACUUUAGGAUUCCAAGGCCCCGCCCUCACUGUUCCGGAAUCAGACUGGCAGAAAUUGACAGAGAAUCUCUUCUUUGAACAAGACCUUGGGUAGUUUUCUCAGGAUCAAGCAAAUUGCAGAAAGGAUCUCACACAGCUCCUUGGAUGUGUUCCAUGUGGCUUCCGUGCAUUAAGAAGCAAAAGCCAGAGCCCAGGGAGACUUCCUAUAAAACAAGGACCAGGAAUCAAAGAGAACAGAUAAAUAUGUUAGCCUGGACUGAAUGGGUCAGUCCCAGAGCGAGGCUGUACUGCUGCCCACAGACCGAACUUGCCAGCUCUGUUAUGUAGGAGCCGCGUGCCUGGCAAAUCCCGGAAGCAUUUGCUGUCCUCACCUGGUGGUUGUAUCGAUCCUUCAGUGAGAUACACCGCUGUUGUGUCUCUGCAGCAAGCAGACAUCGAUGGAAUGUUAGUUUUCAGUCUAAUAUAAAAAUACCUGGUGUUUUGGGGCACCUGGAUGUCUCAGUGGGUUAAAGCCUCUGCCUUCAGCUCAGUCAUGAUCACAGGGUGCUGGGAUCGAGCCCCACAUCGGGCGGGCUCUCUGCUCGGCAGGGAGCUUGCUCCCCACCCCACCCCACCCCUCCGCCUGCCUCUCUGCCUACUUGUGAUCUCUGUCUGUCAAAUAAACAAAUAAAAUUUAAAAAAAUUAAA